rnacentral:rRNA from 1 species
GCAAUACACGAAAGUGUGACAAGGCUAUCCCGAGUGCCAUCCGCUGAGGAAGGCUUUUACCCAGUAUAAAUAGCUGGGAGAAUAAGGAGAGGGCAAGUCUGGUGUCAGCCGCCGCGGUAAUACCAGCUCUCCGAGUAGUGUGGAUGUUUAUUGGGCCUAAAGCAUCCGUAGCUUGCUAAGCAAGUCCCCUGUUAAAUCCACCGAUUCAAUCGAUGGUUUGCGGGGGAUACUGUUUGGCUAGGGGACGGGAGAGGUCGACGGUAUUUCCGGAGUAGGGGUGAAAUCCUAUAAUCCCGGGAGGACCACCAGUGGCGAAGGCUGUCGACUAGAACGCGCCCGACGGUGAGGGAUGAAAGCUGGGGGAGCGAACCGGAUUAGAUACCCGGGUAGUCCCAGCUGUAAACGAUGCAGGCUAGGUGUUUGGGCGGCCACGAGCCGCCCUAGUGCCGCAGGGAAGCUGUUAAGCCUGCCGCCUGGGGAGUACGGCCGCAAGGCUGAAACUUAA